rfam:Ophiophagus hannah scaffold141.1, whole genome shotgun sequence.
CCAAAGGCUCUUUUAAGAGCCACCUACGCAUUCACUUUAAAAGAG